GACGAACGCUGGCGGCGUGCCUAAUACAUGCAAGUCGAGCGAAUGGAUUGAGAGCUUGCUCUUAUGAAGUUAGCGGCGGACGGGUGAGUAACACGUGGGUAACCUGCCCAUAAGACUGGGAUAACUCCGGGAAACCGGGGCUAAUACCGGAUAACAUUUUGAACCGCAUGGUUCGAAACUGAAAGGCGGCUUCGGCUGUCACUUAUGGAUGGACCCGCGUCGCAUUAGCUAGUUGGUGAGGUAACGGCUAACCAAGGCAACGAUGCGUAGCCGACCUGAGAGGGUGAUCGGCCACACUGGGACUGAGACACGGCCCAGACUCCUACGGGAGGCAGCAGUAGGGAAUCUUCCGCAAUGGACGAAAGUCUGACGGAGCAACGCCGCGUGAGUGAUGAAGGCUUUCGGGUCGUAAAACUCUGUUGUUAGGGAAGAACAAGUGCUAGUUGAAUAAGCUGGCACCUUGACGGUACCUAACCAGAAAGCCACGGCUAACUACGUGCCAGCCGCCGCCGUAA
rnacentral:rRNA from 1 species